UGCCAGACUCCUACGGGAGGCAGCAGUGGGGAAUAUUGCACAAUGGGGGAAACCCUGAUGCAGCAACGCCGCGUGAGUGAAGAAGUAUUUCGGUAUGUAAAGCUCUAUCAGCAGGGAAGAAAAUGACAGUACCUGACUAAGAAGCCCCGGCUAACUACGUGCCAGCAGCCGCGGUAAUACGUAGGGAGCAAGCGUUAUCCGGAUUUACUGGGUGUAAAGGGCGCGUAGGCGGGAUGGCAAGUCAGAUGUGAAAUCCAAGGGCUCAACCCUUGAACUGCAUUUGAAACUGUCGUUCUUGAGUACUGGAGAGGUUGACGGAAUUCCUAGUGUAGCGGUGAAAUGCGUAGAUAUACGGAGGAACACCAGUGGCGAAGGCGGCCUGCUGGACAUUAACUGACGCUGAGGCGCGAAAGCGUGGGGAGCAAACAGGAUUAGAUACCCCAGUA
rnacentral:rRNA from 1 species